rnacentral:rRNA from 1 species
AUUGAACGCUGGCGGCAGGCCUAACACAUGCAAGUCGAACGGUAACAGGAAGAAGCUUGCUUCUUUGCUGACGAGUGGCGGACGGGUGAGUAAUGUCUGGGAAACUGCCUGAUGGAGGGGGAUAACUACUGGAAACGGUAGCUAAUACAGCAUAACGUCGCAAGACCAAAGAGGGGGACCUUCGGGCCUCUUGCCAUCGGAUGUGACCAGAUGGGAUUAGCUAGUAGGUGGGGUAACGGCUCACCUAGGCGACGAUCCCUAGCUGGUCUGAGAGGAUGACCAGCCACACUGGAACUGAGACACGGUCCAGACUCCUACGGGAGGCAGCAGUGGGGAAUAUUGCACAAUGGGCGCAAGCCUGAUGCAGCCAUGCCGCGUGUAUGAAGAAGGCCUUCGGGUUGUAAAGUACUUUCAGCGGGGAGGAAGGGAGUAAAGUUAAUACCUUUGCUCAUUGACGUUACCCGCAGAAGAAGCACCGGCUAACUCCGUG